rnacentral:rRNA from 1 species
GAUGAACACUGGCGGCGUGCCUAAUACAUGCAAGUCGAGCGAAUGGAUUAAGAGCUUGCUCUUAUGAAGUUAGCGGCGGACGGGUGAGUAACACGUGGGUAACCUGCCCAUAAGACUGGGAUAACUCCGGGAAACCGGGGCUAAUACCGGAUAACAUUUUGAGCCGCAUGGUUCGAAAUUGAAAGGCGGCUUCGGCUGUCACUUAUGGAUGGACCCGCGUCGCAUUAGCUAGUUGGUGAGGUAACGGCUCACCAAGGCAACGAUGCGUGGCCGACCUGGGAGGGGGGUCGGCCACACUGGGACUGAGACACGGCCCAGACUCCGACGGGAGGCAGCAGGAGGAAAUCUUCCGCAAUGGACGAAAGUCUGACGGAGCAACGCCGCGUGAGGGAUGAAGGCUUUCGGGUCGUAAAACUCUGUUGUUAGGGAAGAACAAGUGCUAGUUGAAUAAGCUGGCACCUUGACGGUACCUAACCAGAAAGCCACGGCUAACUACGUGCCAGCAGCCGCCGUAA